AAUGAAAAAGUUUUUUUUAAGAGUCGCAGCAGUAGAGGCGGCACAACUAUAACAACAUGUGAAUAACCCGCCCACUCUAAAGCGGUACUAAACUGCAGUAGAAAAGCAAACCGAGCCGAGCCGAG